rnacentral:rRNA from 1 species
ACCCUCAAACCUAAAGAAUUUGGCGGUCUUUAAUAAAAUAAGAGGAAUUUGUUUUAUAAACGAUGAUCCCCGAAAAACCUCACUCAAUUCUAAACAUGUUUGUAUACCGCCGUCUAAAAAAUAUUUCAAAAUAUAUUUUUAACAAAUUAAUCUAAUGUGUCAGGUCAAGGUGCAGCUAAUAGUUGAGAAAAAUGAAUUACAAUAUAAUUUUAUUUAAAAAAAGAACAUUAAAACUCUUUUCAAAGAGGAUUUUAAAGUAAUAGAUAAUUUARAAAGAAUCUAUGACUAAAACAAUUAAAGAUGUACAUAUCGCCCGUCGCUCGCGGGAA